UACGUAGGGACCAAGCGUUGUUCGGAUUUACUGGGCGUAAAGGGCGCGUAGGCGGCUUUGUAAGUCACUUGUGAAAUCUCCGGGCUUAACUCGGAACGGCCAAGUGAUACUGCAAUGCUAGAGUGCAGAAGGGGCAAUCGGAAUUCUUGGUGUAGCGGUGAAAUGCGUAGAUAUCAAGAGGAACACCUGAGGUGAAGACGGGUUGCUGGGCUGACACUGACGCUGAUGCGCGAAAGCCAGGGGAGCAAACGGG
rnacentral:rRNA from 2 species